GACGAACGCUGGCGGCGUGCUUAACACAUGCAAGUCGAGCGGAGCGGCGAACGGGUGAGUAACGCGUGAGUAACUGCCCCCCUCUCUGGGAUAACAGUUGGAAACGGCUGCUAAUACCGGAUACUGGGGGAUGACUCGCGGCCUAUAAGCUUGUUGGUGGGGUAGUGGCCUACCAAGGUGACGACGGGUAGCCGGCCUGAGAGGGCGACCGGCCACAUUGGGCUGGGAGACGGGCCAAACUCGUACGGGGGGCAGCAGGGGGGAAUAUUGCACAAUGGGGGAAACCCUGAUGAAGCAACGCCGCGUGCGGGAGGACGGCCUUCGGGUUGUAAACCGCUUUCAGCCAUGACGCGGUGGUGGCAGAAGAAGCACCGGGUAACUACGUGCCAGCAGCCGCGGUAAUAC
rnacentral:rRNA from 1 species